CAUGCAUGUCUAAGUACAAACUAAAUUAAAAGUGAAACCGCAAAAGGCUCAUUAUAUCRGUUAUGGUUUAUUAGAUCAUUAACAGUUACUUGGAUAACUGUGGUAAUUCUAGAGCUAAUACAUGCAAUAUAAACAUGAACCUUAUGGAACAUGUGCUCKUAUUAGUCUAAAACCAAGCGAUUUUUUUAAAAAUCGUUAUAAUGGUUGAACUCUAGAUAAUUUGCCAAUCGUAUGGUCUCGUACCGACGAUAGAUCUUUUAAAUGUCUGCCCUAUCAACUAUUGAUGGUAGUAUUUAGGACUACCAUGGUUGCAACGGGUAACGGGGAAUCAGGGUUCGAUUCCGGAGAGGGAGCCUGAGAAACAGC
rnacentral:rRNA from 1 species